rnacentral:tRNA from 1 species
GUGAUUGUAGCUCAGUUGGAAGAGCCCUGGAUUGUGGUUCCAGUUGUCGUGGGUUCGAAUCCCAUCAAUCACC